rnacentral:rRNA from 1 species
GACGAACGCUGGCGGCGUGCUUAACACAUGCAAGUGGAGCGACGAACCAGGGCUUGCCCUGGGGCAGAGCCGCGAACGGGUGAGUAACACGUGGGGAACCUACCCCGAAGACUGGGACAACCCGGGGAAACUCGGGCUAAUACCAGAUGUGGUCCCACUACAUAAGUGGUGUGACUAAAGGAAGCUUCGGCCUCCGCUUUGGGAGGGUCCCGCGGCGCAUUAGCUUGUGGGCGAGGUAACGGCUCACCAAGGCUUCGAUGCGUAGCUGGUCUGAGAGGACGAUCAGCCACACUGGGACUGAGACACGGCCCAGACUCCUACGGGAGGCAGCAGUGGGGAAUCUUGCGCAAUGGGCGACAGCCUGACGCAGCAACGCCGCGUGGGGGAAGAAGGCCUUCGGGUUGUAAACCUCUUUCAGGAGGGGCGAAGCUUUGCCGGUGAAUAGCCGUGUGAAGUGACGGUACCUCCACAAGCAGCCCCGGCUAACUACGUGCCAGCCGCCGCGGUAACAC